GGAACCCAACUCAUGAGGUGCCCCAGGACUGGGAGCCAGCAGGGCCUGAAAGGGUAGGGAUCCUGCCGGGGCAGGGUCUGAUCAGUCUGCUUGCUGCUGUGUAACACCUACGGAUGCUGUGUACCACCACGUCCCAGGUAAAUACUUCAGGAUGUUUCUCUACAACAGAGGUCUACAAACGUUUUCUAUAAAUAUUUGGGGCUUUGGGGGCCACACUGUCUCCACCUUGCCUACUCAACUCUGUCCUCCAAUAGGCUCCAUGCACAGUGUGGAGCCCAAUGCGAGGCUUGAACUCAAGACCCUGGAAUCAAGACCUGAGGUGAGCUCAAGAGUUGGAACACUUCACUGAGCCACCAGGUGCCUCAAAGCCUACUUUGCAUUUGAGUGAUAUCAAGGGUCUUUGCUCAGUGGAUUUGGGGUUUGUGUCCUUAGAACUUGGGGGGUUUAUGUGACCCCACGGCAUCAGACUGGGCCCGAGCCUGGCAGAGCAGCACACCAGGUCUGGUUUUGGUCACGGGGAAACCUGUGGAGGUCAUGGGGUUGAACCAGGACGCUGUCUGGACGUGAGGUGCAUGCCUAGGUGAGUCACUGAUGUUUGAAGUGAUUAGUGCCACUGCGUGAGGGCUGUGGGACAGGUACAGGGGCAGUGUGGGACAGGUAAGUCUGGUUGGCAGCUGGCUGGUGUCCAGAAGCCAACGUGGUUUUUGAGGCUGAGGGAUUUUGUUCCUGGAAGUUCUGCAGAAAGCCCUUGCCCUGAGAGUCUGAGGGUGGACUUUUCAAGCACCCAAGUAAUUUCAAGGUAAAUUGAGAACUUGGGAGCUGUGGUGUGCUGGGUCCUAGCAGCGCACAAGAGCUGACUGAUUUUUUAAAAGAUUUUAUUUAUUUGACAGAGAUCACAAGUAGGCAGAGAGGCAGGCAGAGAGAGAGGAAGGGAAGCAGGCUCCCUGCUGAGCAGAGAGCCCGAUGUGGGGCUCCAUCCCAGGACCCCGAGAUCUCGACCUGAGCCAAAGGCAGAGGCUUUAACUCACUGAGCCACCCAGGUGCCCUGAGCUGACUGAUUUUUAAGAUCUUUGGUUUUUGUUUUGCAUGCCAUUCUUGAAAAAAAAAUUAUACACAUUUAAUGAUUAGUCUUAUGAAAAACAAAUUUAGAGGUGCCUGGGUGGCUCAAUGGGUUGAGCCUCUGCCUUUAGCUCCGGUCAUGAUCUUGG